rnacentral:lncRNA from 1 species
CCCCCAGGCUAUAGCCCACCCGUUUUUGUGGCCUUUUUCCGCUGGACGAACUUGGCGCCCCGGCCUUCGGGUGGUUAUUUUUGGGCGCGGCUGUGCCCGCGGCCUAUUUUUAGCACACGGAGGUGCCUCGCAAUGUCUCGCGCCAUUCCGAGUCCGGCGGACGAAGUUGGCCUGCCCACCCCCAAAGGCUAUAGCCCACCCGUUUUUGUGUCCUUUUUCCGCUGGACGAACUUGGCGCCCCGGCCUUCGAGCGGUUAUUUUCAGGCGCGGUUGUGCCCGCAUCCUAUUUUUGGCAAACGGAGACGCCUCGCAAAGUCUCACGCCAUUCCGAGUCCGGCGGACGAAGUUGGCCAGCCCCACCCCCCAAGGCUAUAGCCCACCCGUUUUUGUGGCCUUUUUCCGCUGGACGAACUUGGCGCCCCGGCCUUCGGGCGGUUAUUUUUGGUUGCGGCUGUCCCCACGGCCCAUUUUUGGCACACGGAGGCCGCUCGCAAAGUCUCGCGCCAUUCCGGGUCCGGCGGACGAAGUUGGGCAGCCCCACCCCCCAAGGCUAUAGCCCACCCGUUUUUGUGGCCUUUUUCCGCUGGACGAACUUGGCGCCCCGGCCUUCGGGCUGUUAUUUUUGGGCGUGGCUUUGCCCGGAGCCUAUUUUUGGCACACGGAGGCCCCUCGCAAAGUCUCGCGGCAUUCCGAGUCCGGCGGACGAAGUUGGCCAGCCCCACCCCCCAAGGCUAUAGCCCACCCGUUUUUCUGGCUUUUUUCCGCUGGACGAACUUGGCGCCCCGGCCUUCGGGCAGUUAUUUUUGGGAGCGGCUGUGCCCGCGGCCUAUUUUUGGCACACGGAGGCGCCUCGAAAAGUCUCGCGCCAUUCCGAGUCCGGUGGACAAAGUUGGCCAGCCCCACCCGCGAAGGCUAUAGCCCACCCGNN